rnacentral:rRNA from 1 species
CCUACGGGAGGCUGCAGUGGGGAAUAUUGCACAAUGGGGGGAACCCUGAUCCAGCAACGCCGCGUGAGGGAAGAAGGAUUUCGGGUUGUAAACUUCUUUUCGCAGGGAAGAUAAUGACGGUAUCUCACGAAUAAGCACCGGCUAACUACGGGCCAGCAGCCGCGGUAAUACGGAGGGGGCAAGCGUUAUCCGGAAUCACUGGGUGUAAAGGGAGCGUAGGCGGGGUAGUAAGUCAGAUGUGAAAGCUAGGGGCUGAACCCCGGGACUGCAUUUGAAACUAUGAGACUAGAGUGAAGGAGGGGUAAGCGGAAUUCUUGGUGUAGCGGUGAAAUGCGUAGAUAUAAGGAGGAACACUAGUGGCGAAGGCGGCUUACUGGACAGUAACUGACGCUGAGGCACGAAAGCGUGGGGAGCAAACAGGAUUAGAUACCCCGGUAGUC